ACGUACCGGUAUUUCCAGUUCAGUGGGUUGUCUGCUGCUGCUUUCAAUGAGCAAUUCCGGACUGACUAAAAAUGCGUAAAUUAACUCAGUUAUUCAUAUUAUGGAAAAUUUUAUAUCUUUUUUUGCUAGGAUGUUGUUUUAAAGCUGAGGGUAAUUCAAAUGAUAAGCAGAGCUGUCACUUUGAUAUCGACAUACUACAAAGUCAUCAUGUUGGCAAUAGUCCCAUCAUUAGUUCACCGUUGGUAGCAGACAUUAAUGCUGAUGGCACUCUUGAUAUCAUUUCAACAACAUUUGAUGGGACUAUUGAUGUUGUUGACGGGGAGAACAUGAAACCACAUUCCAGAUCACAGUGGCCUUAUCAAUUCCCAAACAGCACAGUACACUCAAGCCCCAUGUUGUAUGAUGUCGAUAGUGAUGGCCUGCCAGAAGUUGUAGUGUUUACUACUGAUGGAGAGAUUAACUACUUCAAGAUAGAUGGGACAUUUCUUCCAGACAAAACAGUGCAGGUACAACCUUAAUUAUACUUUAAGUUUGAAAAAAAAAAAGGAAAAAAAAAAGAGUUCAAUUUUUAUGAAACCCCCAAAUAGAAAUUGGAACUGAUUUUCAAGUUUCAAACAUUCAGCCAAACAGAAGUAUGCAGUUGGGACCAGUGUUUAAUUGUAGUUGUUUGUGCAAUAGGCCCCUGGGCCCGUAUUCCAUAAACGAGAUAAGCUUUUUGCUUAAGUCUUAGCAAUUUGUCUUAGCAUUUUGCUUGUCUAAGAAAUCUUACCUAACGAUAUUCUAUAAACCUUAAGACAUUUGUCUCAAGUCAGACGAUAUGGCUAAGCCAAAGUCUCAAAUUCUAGUAUUAGGUACUGCUGCAGGGGUGACUGCAACAAACUUGCAAAAAUGUCACUGAAGUUGUUUUUUCUUAAAAAUUAGGAUUUUAUUGAAACUAAUUACAACAAUUGUAGUAAAAGAAGAGCAUUCAUCACCCAUAUAUGGUAAGAAUUUUUUAUUCAGAUUAUCUAUAUUUUUGUUAAUAACCAAAACAUUUCAAUCCCAAACCGAGUGACUUGAACAGUUUUUUGUGUAUCAGUCCCAUUUAUUACUUUUCAUGUAUUGUUUGUCAAAAUCUAAAUUGAAUAGAUUCCUCUCGACAUCUUUAUUUAACUUUAGUUUAAGUAGACCUAAGGGAAAACUUUUGUAACUUUUGAGACUAGUCUUGGGUCUCACAUUAGGCCUAGAUCUAGACUAGGCCCAAGAUCUAAAGCUAAUAUCCGUCUGUUUGGAGGAGAAUUGAACAUCGUUUUGACUUUUUUACUUUAAGGCUGAAGCAAAACUUAACUUUGUUAGUCUAGUGGCGUGCCAUUAAUUUUGGUUUUUUAAUAUGUUGUUACCAUGGCAACGUGAUAUUUUAUAUAGGCAUAAAAUAUGUUUUGCAUAUCUUCACAUCAAGACUAAUGUUUGUGCCACAUUUCAUGAGAAUUGGUUUAAAACUGAGGAAGUAGUUAAAACAGCAAUAUUUAUACAUAAUUUUGCCAUAAUAUACCGUUACCAUGGCAACACAAUUUCCGACACAUGCAAAAAUGUAUCUUGCACAUCUUUUCCUCAAAUCCAAUGUGUGAGCCAACUUUAAUGAGAAUUGGUAGAAAAAUGAUGAAGUAUUUUAAACGGCAAAAUUUUGGCCAUAAUAUACUGUUACCAUGGCAACACAAU